UGCGUAGGCGGAUUAAUAAGUCAGUGGUGAAAACCUGCAGCUUAACUGUAGAACUGCCAUUGAUACUGUUAGUCUUGAGUACGGUCAAGGUAGGCGGAAUGUGUAAUGUAGCGGUGAAAUGCUUAGAUAUUACACAGAACACCGAUUGCGAUGGCAGCUUACUGGACCAUUACUGACGCUGAGGCACGAAAGCGUGGGGAGCGAACAGGAUUAGAUACCCUGGUAGUCC
rnacentral:rRNA from 1 species